rnacentral:lncRNA from 1 species
GGUUUUCGAGAAAAAGGAGUUUUAAGAAAAGAGGGUUUCCGCUCUAUGCUAUUCGUGCAUUUUAAAACUCCUCGUGCUCUGUGCUUGUGACCUGGGGUUAGAUGAGAGUUGUUUCUGGUACCUACUAGUGGUAGGGAAUUCAAUUUGAAUUUGGAUUAAAGGUUUUAGGGUUUAUACUUCAGUAUAUGCGCGAUAUACGGAUUAAUUAGAGAGCGGGUGGGUUCCGUCGCGAAUCCGUGACCAAAUCUGACGAAACAAGAUGGUAGUUUGGAUGCCCUCGUUGUGCUGAACGCGAUGGUGCGAUCCGUUCGGAAAUCCGAUGAACGGAUUGCCGGAUAUUGCAUGUUUUUCACUAAGGGGUCGAGAGUGGAAAUCGGGAAAUUCGCAAAAGUCUUAAUAUUUUAUGUGCCGAAUUGCGUGAGAUCGGAUAUGGAGGUGCAUACGUGUAAAAUACGCGUACUGCGAGGGACUUGAUAGAGAAUAUUACCCUGGGAGGACUUUUUUUGCAAAAUGCACUUAUGUGUAUAGUGGUUGCACUAGGGUUUCAUGAGGAAACCCUAACGGUUGGCCUCCCUCUUCCUCCAACUGCGCCCCAGCCGUCACUUGCACCCCUCCUCGACCCCGCCGCACGCGCCCCGGCCGCCGGCGAGCAGCCCCGGUCGCCGGAAUAGCCACCCCGGCCACUUCUCCAUCUUUCUCUUUUAAUCGAUCCACCACCCUCUCGGCCUGAGUACGCAAGGAAGUGCGUGAAGCCCGAGGAUCCUUCACCUGUGGCUGAGGGCUACCUCCGGCGCCGAUUUCCGCCGGCCUCGGUCGUACACCGCGCCGCCCGCACCCUCCUCGCUCUGCGCGGCCAGCCAGACCCGACCGAGACCGAGCGCAGCCUGGUUGUGGCGCGCGCGCCGCCGCCCACCCUCGGUCCCGCCGCCCUCGUAUGGCCUCCGGCGUGCCCCCG